rnacentral:rRNA from 1 species
AAAGCCGGUCCCAGUUCGGAUUGAGGGCUGAAAUUCGCUCUCAUGAAGUUGGAAUCGCUAGUAAUCGCGGGUCAGCAAUACCGCGGUGAAUAUGUUCCCGAGCCUUGUACACACCGCCCGUCAAGCCACCGAAGCAGGGGAUCCUCUCGGGGGCCUUGCGCUUGAGGAGGGGUUCACGGCCUAUUAGCUUGUUGGUAGGGUAAUUGCCUACCAAGGCAAUGAUGGGUAGCCGGCCUGAGAGGGUGGUCGGCCUCACGGGCACUGAGACACUGGCCCGACUCCUACGGGAGGCUGCAGUAGGGAAUUUUGGGCAAUGGGCGAAAGCCUGACCCAGCGACGCCGCGUGGAGGAUGAAGGCCCUUGGGUUGUAAACUCCUGUCACAUAUUAUGAAGGUUUCGGGUAUUAACACCACCUGGAGCUUGACAAAAGUAUGAGAGGAAGUCAUGGCUAACUCCGUGCCAGCAGCCGCGGUAAUACGGAGAUGGCAACCGUUGUUCGGAAUCACUGGGCUUAAAGCGCACGUAGGCGGGGAUGUAAGUCGAUUGUGAAAUCCCAUAGCUCACCUAUGGAAUUGCAUUCGAAACUGUAUCUCUUGAGAGCGGGAGGGGAGAGUGGAACUCCUAGUGGAGCGGUGAAAUGCGUUGAUAUUAGGAGGAACGCCGGCGGCGAAAGCGACUCUCUGGUCCGUUUCUGACGCUGAGGUGCGAAAGCUAGGGGAGCAAACGGGAUUAGGUACCCCGGUAGUCCUAGCCGUAAACGAUGGGCACUAAGUAGAGGGGCUCCCAGGUCUCUCUGCCGGAACAAAAGUAUUAAGUGCCCCGCCUGGGGAGUAUAGUCGCAAGGCCGAAACUCAAAGGAAUUGACGGGGGCUCGCACAAGCGGUGGAGCAUGUGGUUUAAUUCGAAGCAACGCGCAGAACCUUACCUGGGUUUGACAUGUUAGGAUUAACCUCCUGAAAGGGAGGUGACGCCCUUCGGGGUGGAACUAACACAGGUGUUGCAUGGCUGUCGUCAGCUCGUGCCGUGAGGUGUUGGGUUAAGUCCCGUAACGAGCGAAACCCUUGUUCCUAGUUGCCAGUGGGUCACGCCAGGCUACUCUAGGAAGACUGCCUGUGUUAAGCAGGAGGAAGGUGGGGAUGACGUCAAGUCC